rnacentral:rRNA from 1 species
ACGCAGCAACGCCGCGUGGGGGAUGAAGCUUCUCGGAGUGUAAACCCCUUUCGACCCGGACGAAUGCCCGCAAGUGUUAGACGGUACGGGUAUAAGAAGCCCCGGCUAAGUACGUGCCAGCAGCCGCGGUAAAACGUAGGGGGCCAGCGUUGCUCGGAAUUACUGGGCGUAAAGGGUCUGUAGGCGGUGCGGCAAGUCGGAAGUGAAAUCUCUGGGCUUAACCCAGAGGGUGCUUCCGAAAGUGCCGUGAUAGAGGAUGAGAGAGGCAAGUGGAAUUGCGGGUGUAGCGGUGAGAUGGGUAGAUAUCCGCAGGAACAUCCGAGGCGAAAGCGGCAUGGUGGAUCAUUUGUGACGCUGAGGGUCGACAGCUCGGGGAGCAAACAAGAUUAGAUACUCUGGUGGUCC